rnacentral:lncRNA from 1 species
GACGAAGGCAGCGCGCAUCGUUGAGGAGAGCGUUUGCCGAAAGUCUUUCGGUGCGGUGCAGAUGCCGCGUUUCCCCCGCCAUUCAACUGUGUGUGAAAGUCCCUCUCUUUUCACCAAGUCUCUGCAACGUGUAAAGCGCUGGACCUCACGGCCGGUUAACUCCGGCCUGGCACAGGGUCUCGGCUGCAGAACAAGGGGGAACCUUCCACGGCCAUCUAAGCCUGGCAUCCCCAGACGGGUUUCUUCUUUUUAUUUCUAGUUGGGUUUCCGCCGCGUCCCAGAGAGACAGACUUCCUUUGCCGGUCGCGAGCGUCUUCCUCCGCACUCCGUCUCUUUUUUUCAGUAGCUGUCCACCGACUUUCGCGAGGAAUGAAGAGAGUGAAAGACGCGUUUCUUGCCACUCUUUCGUCCAUCGUGUUCGUCGCCAACAGAGGGUCGUCGAAAGCAAGAAGGAAACCGCCCGGGGGACGGAUCGUCUGGCUUUUGAAAGGGAGGAGGCUUCCCGUGUCUUGCGGAUAAAAAGUCCAAGACUUUUGAUGCUUGUCAAACGUGGUCCACCGUUUGUUUCCUUGGUUUGUUUGGCUGUCUUGACAUCCGAUAGCGGUUCACUCAGUGCAUCUGUUCCUUUUCUCUCGCGGCUUUUAGCGUCUUUCUCUACCCCAAAGUAUCGUCGUCGUUAUCGCGCGUGUGCAAGAAUACUACUCAAGCCUCUCUUUUUUGCUUUUUUCGAGAGAUUUUUUGCUUCGUUGUUCUCCGCGCGCCUCUGUCUUUACCUCCCAGUCGUAGUCUGCUUCGUGACAGAUGUUCACACAGAAAGCAACGCGACGGCAGAAAUCGAAGUGUUCAACUCGCAC